rnacentral:rRNA from 1 species
AUUGAACGCUGGCGGCAUGCUUUACACAUGCAAGUCGAACGGUAACAGGCCUUCGGGUGCUGACGAGUGGCGAACGGGUGAGUAAUGCAUCGGAACGUACCCAGAGGUGGGGGAUAACGCAGCGAAAGCUGUGCUAAUACCGCAUGUGAUCUGAGGAUGAAAGCGGGGGACCGCGCAGCAAUGUUUGGCCUCGCGCCUUUGGAGCGGCCGAUGUCGGAUUAGCUAGUUGGUGGGGUAAAGGCCUACCAAGGCGACGAUCCGUAGCUGGUCUGAGAGGACGACCAGCCACACUGGGACUGAGACACGGCCCAGACUCCUACGGGAGGCAGCAGUGGGGAAUUUUGGACAAUGGGCGCAGGCCUGAUCCAGCAAUGCCGCGUGCGGGAAGAAGGCCUUCGGGUUGUAAACCGCUUUUGGCAGGAACGAAACGGUGUCCGCUAAUACCGGGCGCUAAUGACGGUACCUGCAGAAUAAGCACCGGCUAACUACGUG